rnacentral:rRNA from 1 species
CACGUGGGGUGCAAGCGUUGUCCGGAAUUAUUGGGCGUAAAGGGCUCGUAGGCGGUCCGUCACGUCGGGAGUGAAAACUCGGGGCUCAACCCCGAGCCUGCUUUCGAUACGGGCGGACUAGAGGUAGGUAGGGGAGAACGGAAUUCCUGGUGUAGCGGUGGAAUGCGCAGAUAUCAGGAGGAACACCGGUGGCGAAGGCGGUUCUCUGGGCCUUACCUGACGCUGAGGAGCGAAAGCGUGGGGAGCGAACAGG